GACGAACGCUGGCGGCGUGCUUAACACAUGCAAGUCGAACGGAAAGGCCCUGCUUUUGUGGGGUGCUCGAGUGGCGAACGGGUGAGUAACACGUGAGUAACCUGCCCUUGACUUUGGGAUAACUUCAGGAAACUGGGGCUAAUACCGGAUAUGAGCUCCUGCUGCAUGGUGGGGGUUGGAAAGUUUCGGCGGUUGGGGAUGGACUCGCGGCUUAUCAGCUUGUUGGUGGGGUAGUGGCUUACCAAGGCUUUGACGGGUAGCCGGCCUGAGAGGGUGACCGGCAACAUGGGGACUGAGAGACGGCCCAGACUCCUACUGGAGGCAGCAGUGGGGAAUAUUGCACAAUGGGCGGAAGCCUGAUGCAGCAACGCCGCGUGCGGGAUGAAGGCCUUCGGGUGGUAAACCGCUUUCGCCUGUGACGAAGCGUGAGUGACGGUAAUGGGUAAAGAAGCACCGGCUAACUACGUG
rnacentral:rRNA from 1 species